CCACUACUCCAACUCAAGCACGCUUAACUCUGGAGUUCUUUCAGGAUGUGCUCCGGAAAAGGUAAGUCAACUUUGGUGACAUAGGUAGCCAAAUCAAUUCUCUUAAGCCUUUUUCACAUAUCACAACUCGGGAUGUUACAGAUUUUGUCAUAGCAAAUUCAGCCAUUCGAUUUAUAAAUUUAAGAAAAUUUUAUAUUUCUUUCUCUCUCAUUAGCGUUGGUUUCCAUCUCCACUUUCUUCUUCUGUUUCUUUUUUACUUUGCCAACGAAUCUAAACAAAAUCAGGGAAGAUAUGAGUUCCAAACAAACUCAUGAGCUCAUAAGUUUUUGUACUUUUUCUCUGUUUCCUUUCUUUACCUAAUCACUUGAUCAUACCCAACCACUCAUCACCACAAUCCCAAACAACUGACGUAACCACUUUUUACAAGCCAACAAGCUUAUAGUCGCCACCACCGCAUCAGUACCAACAAAACUCAGCCGACUGCUUGAACAUGAACAUGGAAAUGAGCGGGUGAAAAAGAGAAGAGGUAGAUCGAGGAAAUACAAACAGAGAUCAUGUAAAAAACAGUGGCUAAUACCAAAACGUUGACAGCUAGUUUUAUAUUUAUACUGCUAACACAUUAUUUACUUGUUAUUGGAAAAAUAGACAGCUAAUUUCAUAUUUAUAUUGCUAACACAUAUUUACUUGUUAUUCUGAUUAACUAUAUGAAAUAUAAAAGUUGCAUAUCAAUAUAAAAUUACGUACACGACUUAAUAUAUUACAUAAUGGUUACAUGUUAGUUAUAUGAAAUUUAACCUCCAAAUGAGAAAUAUCAUCUGUAGAUAAUGUAAAUAAUUAUGUAUAAAUUCAUAAUCGGCUAAAAAGUACAUGUCCUUUUAAAUAUAUUAUUAUCUUCAACAAAAUUAAUAUAUUUAUUUUUAAAUUUUAUUAUCCGGUUAAAACUUUCAAAGAACAGUUAAACAUAAUGUUAGCUAUCAAAGAGAAAUGUUAGAUGUGUACAAAUAUUAUUAGUUGGACAACAAUUCUGUUAAACCAGUUACAAUUUAUAAUACUCGGACAAUGGUUUUGACAAUCUGGUCGUGCAUGUAAAUAAUUACGUUUUUAUACAUAAUUGGCUAAAAAAUACAUGUCCUUUUAAGAAUAUAUUAUCUUCAACAAAACUAAAAUAUAUAUAUUUUUAAAGUAUUAUCAUCCAGUUAAAACUUUCAAACUCAGCUAAAAGUAAUGUUAGCUAUCAAUGAAAAAUGUUAGAUAUGUAAAAUAUAAUAUUAGUUGGACAACAAUUUUGUUAAGCCAAUUACAAAAUAUAUUAGUUGGACAAUAGUUUUAACAAUCUGAUUGUGCAUGUGGUUCUCAUUGUUUAUCCAACUAAGCAAAAUAUUGUAUUUUUAGUUGCGGAUGAUGUCCAUUUUUGUAGAAGGUUACGAAAACUUUUAGCAUGGAUUCAAAUAGUUUUUGGACUGAGAUAUUUUUGUAAUUGUCGAGUCACUUGUAAAUAUUUUUUUCUAAUUUUUUGGUUCCACUUUAUUAUUUGGAGUUUUGACUUCGUCAGCGUCGGUGGCACUGAGGAUCUGCCUGACUGCGAAAGGUUUGUUGUACGGCAUCACUCUAACACCGAUAGGCUCAUCAACGAGAGAGAAGAAACUCUCCAGGAUCAGACAAGAUAAGAACAAAGUGAUUUAAGGGAGAGAGAGUUUGGUACCCUCACUCUGAUUCGUUCUUCACGAACGGCAAAAAUUCUCUCCGGAAUGAGAAGUUGUGAAGCUCAGUGUUCAUCGUCUUCCAUUUGGUCUCAAGUUAAAAAAUUUUGGGUUUGUCAUAGAUUGGAGGUGUUUCUGAGAGGAAAGAGGAUGGGGGAGGAGGGAUGUUGAGAGAUCUUCAGAAUUAGUGAAGAUACUAUGGAAGAAAGAGAAAAAUUGCAAUAUAGAAUCAUAAACAUGUUAAGAGUUGUAAUUUUGGACUGACAAUUCCUGUGAAAAAUCUUGUGAUAUCUUUUAGAUAGUUUUUUCCUAGGUACGCCAGAUAUGAAGUUAUAGGGGUAUCAGUGUCCUCCGAAAUUGUCAUAGUGUCGAAAAGGUGCCCUUUUGGCAGUAUGCAAAAUAGCGUAGAAAUGGUUGGUAAACGUCCUAAUUUCUCUAAAUUUUAUAAUUAAAUCAUUCGGUUUAAAACCGAACCAAUAGUCUUGUGUGUUUGUUUAAUUAAUUAUAUUGAUUACA